GGUGCUGCAUGGCUGUCGUCAGCUCGUGUCGUGAGAUGUUGGGUUAAGUCCCGCAACGACGCGCAACCCUAUCUCUAGUUGCCAGCGAUUCGGUCGGGGACUCUAGAGAUACUGCCCGGUUAACGGGGAGGAAGGUGGGGAUGACGUCAAGUCCUCAUGGCCCUUAUGCCCAGGGCUACACACGUGCUACAAUGGGCGGUACAAAGGGUAGCGAUGCCGCGAGGUGAAGCCAAUCCCAAAAAGCCGUCCACAGUUCGGAUUGGAGUCUGCAACUCGACUCCAUGAAGCCGGAAUCGCUAGUAAUCGUGGAUCAGCAUGCCACGGUCGAAUACGUUCCCGGGCCUU
rnacentral:rRNA from 1 species